rnacentral:rRNA from 1 species
CGGACGGGUGAGUAACGCGUGAGAAUCUAACUUCAGGACGGGGACAACAGUGGGAAACGACUGCUAAUACCCGAUGUGCCGCGAGGUGAAACCUAAUUGGCCUGAAGAAGAGCUUGCGUCUGAUUAGCUAGUUGGUGGGGUAAGAGCCUACCAAGGCGACGAUCAGUAGCUGGUCUGAGAGGAUGAGCAGCCACACUGGGACUGAGACACGGCCCAGACUCCUACGGGAGGCAGCAGUGGGGAAUUUUCCGCAAUGGGCGAAAGCCUGACGGAGCAACGCCGCGUGAGGGAGGAAGGUCUUUGGAUUGUAAACCUCUUUUCUCAAGGAAGAAGUUCUGACGGUACUUGAGGAAUCAGCCUCGGCUAACUCCGUGCCAGCAGCCGCGGUAAUACGGGGGAGGCAAGCGUUAUCCGGAAUUAUUGGGCGUAAAGCGUCCGCAGGUGGUCAGCCAAGUCUGCCGUCAAAUCAGGUUGCUUAACGACCUAAAGGCGGUGGAAACUGGCAGACUAGAGAGCAGUAGGGGUAGCAGGAAUUCCCAGUGUAGCGGUGAAAUGCGUAGAGAUUGGGAAGAACAUCGGUGGCGAAAGCGUGCUACUGGGCUGUAUCUGACACUCAGGGACGAAAGCUAGGGGAGCGAAAGGGAUUAGAUACCCCUGUAGUC